rnacentral:rRNA from 1 species
UUUGGUUAAGUUAGAAAGGGCGCACGGUGGAUGCCUUGACACUAGGAGUCGAUGAAGGACGGGACUAACGCCGAUAUGCUUCGGGGAGCUGUAAGUAAGCUUUGAUCCGAAGAUUUCCGAAUGGGGAAACCCACCAUACGUAAUGGUAUGGUAUCCUUAUCUGAAUACAUAGGGUAAGGAAGACAGACCCAGGGAACUGAAACAUCUAAGUACCUGGAGGAAGAGAAAGCAAAUGCGAUUUCCUGAGUAGCGGCGAGCGAAACGGAACAUAGCCCAAACCAAGAGGCUUGCCUCUUGGGGUUGUAGGACAUUCUAUACGGAGUUACAAAGGAACGAGGUAGACGAAGCGACCUGGAAAGGUCCGUCGUAGAGGGUAACAACCCCGUAGUCGAAACUUCGUUCUCUCUUGAAUGUAUCCUGAGUACGGCGGAACACGUGAAAUUCCGUCGGAAUCUGGGAGGACCAUCUCCCAAGGCUAAAUACUCCCUAGUGAUCGAUAGUGAACCAGUACCGUGAGGGAAAGGUGAAAAGCACCCCGGAAGGGGAGUGAAAGAGAUCCUGAAACCGUGUGCCUACAAAUAGUCAGAGCCCGUUAACGGGUGAUGGCGUGCCUUUUGUAGAAUGAACCGGCGAGUUACGAUCCCGUGCGAGGUUAAGCUGAAGAGGCGGAGCCGCAGCGAAAGCGAGUCUGAAUAGGGCGUUUAGUACGUGGUCGUAGACCCGAAACCAGGUGAUCUACCCAUGUCCAGGGUGAAGUUCAGGUAACACUGAAUGGAGGCCCGAACCCACGCACGUUGAAAAGUGCGGGGAUGAGGUGUGGGUAGCGGAGAAAUUCCAAUCGAACCUGGAGAUAGCUGGUUCUCCCCGAAAUAGCUUUAGGGCUAGCCUUAAGUGUAAGAGUCUUGGAGGUAGAGCACUGAUUGGACUAGGGGUCCUCAUCGGAUUACCGAAUUCAGUCAAACUCCGAAUGCCAAUGACUUAUCCUUAGGAGUCAGACUGCGAGUGAUAAGAUCCGUAGUCAAAAGGGAAACAGCCCAGACCGCCAGCUAAGGUCCCAAAGUGUGUAUUAAGUGGAAAAGGAUGUGGAGUUGCUUAGACAACUAGGAUGUUGGCUUAGAAGCAGCCACCAUUUAAAGAGUGCGUAAUAGCUCACUAGUCGAGUGACUCUGCGCCGAAAAUGUACCGGGGCUAAAUACACCACCGAAGCUGCGGAUUGAUACCAAUGGUAUCAGUGGUAGGGGAGCGUUCUAAGGACAGUGAAGUCAGACCGGAAGGACUGGUGGAGUGCUUAGAAGUGAGAAUGCCGGUAUGAGUAGCGAAAGACGGGUGAGAAUCCCGUCCACCGAAUGCCUAAGGUUUCCUGAGGAAGGCUCGUCCGCUCAGGGUUAGUCAGGACCUAAGCCGAGGCCGACAGGCGUAGGCGAUGGACAACAGGUUGAUAUUCCUGUACCACCUCUUUAUCGUUUGAGCAAUGGAGGGACGCAGAAGGAUAGAAGAAGCGUGCGAUUGGUUGUGCACGUCCAAGCAGUUAGGCUGAUAAGUAGGCAAAUCCGCUUAUCGUGAAGGCUGAGCUGUGAUGGGGAAGCUCCUUAUGGAGCGAAGUCUUUGAUUCCCCGCUGCCAAGAAAAGCUUCUAGCGAGAUAAAAGGUGCCUGUACCGCAAACCGACACAGGUAGGCGAGGAGAGAAUCCUAAGGUGUGCGAGAGAACUCUGGUUAAGGAACUCGGCAAAAUGACCCCGUAACUUCGGGAGAAGGGGUGCUUUCUUAACGGAAAGCCGCAGUGAAUAGGCCCAAGCGACUGUUUAGCAAAAACACAGCUCUCUGCGAAGCCGUAAGGCGAAGUAUAGGGGGUGACACCUGCCCGGUGCUGGAAGGUUAAGGAGAGGGGUUAGCGUAAGCGAAGCUCUGAACUGAAGCCCCAGUAAACGGCGGCCGUAACUAUAACGGUCCUAAGGUAGCGAAAUUCCUUGUCGGGUAAGUUCCGACCCGCACGAAAGGUGUAACGAUUUGGGCACUGUCUCAACCAGAGACUCGGUGAAAUUAUAGUACCUGUGAAGAUGCAGGUUACCCGCGACAGGACGGAAAGACCCCGUGGAGCUUUACUGUAGCCUGAUAUUGAAUUUUGGUACAGUUUGUACAGGAUAGGCGGGAGCCAUUGAAACCGGAGCGCUAGCUUCGGUGGAGGCGCUGGUGGGAUACCGCCCUGACUGUAUUGAAAUUCUAACCUACGGGUCUUAUCGACCCGGGAGACAGUGUCAGGUGGGCAGUUUGACUGGGGCGGUCGCCUCCUAAAGUGUAACGGAGGCGCCCAAAGGUUCCCUCAGAAUGGUUGGAAAUCAUUCGUAGAGUGCAAAGGCAUAAGGGAGCUUGACUGCGAGACCUACAAGUCGAGCAGGGACGAAAGUCGGGCUUAGUGAUCCGGUGGUUCCGCAUGGAAGGGCCAUCGCUCAACGGAUAAAAGCUACCCGGAUAACAGGCUUAUCUCCCCCAAGAGUCCACAUCGACGGGGAGGUUGGCACCUCGAUGUCGGCUCAUCGCAUCCUGGGCUGUAGUCGGUCCCAAGGGUUGGGCUGUUCGCCAUUAAAGCGGUACGCGAGCUGGGUUCAGAACGUCGUGAGACAGUUCGGUCCCUAUCCGUCGUGGGCGUAGGAAAUUUGAGAGGAGCUGUCCUUAGUACGAGAGGACCGGGAUGGACGCACCGCUGGUGUACCAGUUGUUCUGCCAAGGGCAUAGCUGGGUAGCUAUGUGCGGAAGGGAUAAGUGCUGAAAGCAUCUAAGCAUGAAGCCCCCCUCAAGAUGAGAUUUCCCAUAGCGUAAGCUAGUAAGAUCCCUGAAAGAUGAUCAGGUUGAUAGGUUCGAGGUGGAAGCAUGGUGACAUGUGGAGCUGACGAAUACUAAUAGAUCGAGGACUUAACCAUAUAA